AUGCAGUCGAGCGGACAGAUGGGAGCUUGCUCCCUGAUGUUAGCGGCGGACGGGUGAGUAACACGUGGGUAACCUGCCUGUAAGACUGGGAUAACUCCGGGAAACCGGGGCUAAUACCGGAUGGUUGUCUGAACCGCAUGGUUCAGACAUAAAAGGUGGCUUCGGCUACCACUUACAGAUGGACCCGCGGCGCAUUAGCUAGUUGGUGAGGUAACGGCUCACCAAGGCGACGAUGCGUAGCCGACCUGAGAGGGUGAUCGGCCACACUGGGACUGAGACACGGCCCAGACUCCUACGGGAGGCAGCAGUAGGGAAUCUUCCGCAAUGGACGAAAGUCUGACGGAGCAACGCCGCGUGAGUGAUGAAGGUUUUCGGAUCGUAAAGCUCUGUUGUUAGGGAAGAACAAGUGCCGUUCAAAUAGGGCGGCACCUUGACGGUACCUAACCAGAAAGCCACGGCUAACUACGUGCCAGCAGCCGCGGUAAUACGUAGGUGGCAAGCGUUGUCCGGAAUUAUUGGGCGUAAAGGGCUCGCAGGCGGUUUCUUAAGUCUGAUGUGAAAGCCCCCGGCUCAACCGGGGAGGGUCAUUGGAAACUGGGGAACUUGAGUGCAGAAGAGGAGAGUGGAAUUCCACGUGUAGCGGUGAAAUGCGUAGAGAUGUGGAGGAACACCAGUGGCGAAGGCGACUCUCUGGUCUGUAACUGACGCUGAGGAGCGAAAGCGUGGGGAGCGAACAGGAUUAGAUACCCUGGUAGUCCACGCCGUAAACGAUGAGUGCUAAGUGUUAGGGGGUUUCCGCCCCUUAGUGCUGCAGCUAACGCAUUAAGCACUCCGCCUG
rnacentral:rRNA from 1 species